CCUACGGGAGGCAGCAGUGAGGAAUAUUGGUCAAUGGCCGAGAGUCUGAACCAGCCAAGUCGCGUGAAGGAAGACGGCCCUACGGGUUGUAAACCGCUUUUGUCGGGGAGCAAAUCGAGUCACGUGUAACGCGUUGAGAGUACCCGAAGAAAAAGCAUCGGCUAACUCCGUGCCAGCAGCCGCGGUAAUACGGAGGAUGCAAGCGUUAUCCGGAUUUAUUGGGUUUAAAGGGUGCGCAGGGGGACGGAGAAGUCAGCGGUCAAAUUGCGGGGCUCAACCCCGUACUGCCGUUGAAACUGGUUGCCUUGAGUGCGGUAGAAGUAUGCGGAAUGCGUGGUGUAGCGGUGAAAUGCAUAGAUAUCACGCAGAACUCCGAUUGCGAAGGCAGCAUACCGGAGUGCAACUGACGCUGAUGCACGAAAGCGUGGGUAUCGAACAGGAUUAGAUACCCUAGUAGUC
rnacentral:rRNA from 1 species